GGAACUAACAGGGAUUCCCCNAGUACUGCGAGUGAAGCGGGAAAAGCUCAAAUUUGGAAUCUGGYGGUCAUUCUUGGUCCAUCCUAAUUGUGAUCUAGAGAAGUGGAUUCCGUGUUGGCCCGCGUACAAGUCUCCUGGAAGGGAGCGUCAUACACGGUGAUAAUCCCGUCUUUGACACGGACUACCAAUGCUUAUGUGUUAUACUCUCAACGAGUCGAGUUGUUUGGGAAUGCAGCUCAAAUAUGGUGGUAAAUUCCAUCUAAAGCUAAAUAUAGGCGAGAGACCGAUAGCGUACAAGUACCGNGAGGGAAAGACGAAAAGAACUUUGAACAGAGAGUUAAACAGUACGUGAAAUCCUUGAAAGGGAAACNCUGGAUGUCCAGUCACAUUCAUUGGGGAUCAACCUUUGUCAACUUGGUGUAUUUCCUAAYGGAUGGAGUCAGCAUCAGYUUUAAUCUACUGUAAAAGGGUGAAAGAGAAUGUAGCAAAAUCACNUUAUGAUUUUGUGUUAUAGCUUUGUUGUCGGCAUACAGUGAUUAGGACUGAGGGAAA
rnacentral:rRNA from 1 species